AGAUUUGAUCCUGGCUCAGAUUGAACGCUGGCGGCAUGCCAGGCCUAACACAUGCAAGUCGAGCGAGAAAGCACUUCGGUGCGAGUAGAGCGGCGGACGGGUGAGUAACGCGUAGGAAUUUGCCCAGUAGUGGGGGACAACUUAGGGAAACUUAAGCUAAUACCGCAUACGCCCUAAGGGGGAAAGCAGGGGAUCUUCGGACCUUGCGCUAUUGGAUGAGCCUGCGUCGGAUUAGCUAGUUGGUGGGGUAAAGGCCUACCAAGGCGACGAUCCGUAGCUGGUCUGAGAGGAUGAUCAGCCACACUGGGACUGAGACACGGCCCAGACUCCUACGGGAGGCAGCAGUGGGGAAUAUUGGACAAUGGGGGCAACCCUGAUCCAGCCAUGCCGCGUGUGUGAAGAAGGCCUUAGGGUUGUAAAGCACUUUCAGUAGGGAGGAAAAGUUAGUCGUUAAUAACGGCUAACCCUGACGUUACCUACAGAAGAAGCACCGGCAAACUCCGUGCCAGCAGCCGCGGUAAUACGGAGGGUGCGAGCGUUAAUCGGAAUGACUGGGCGUAAAGCGCGCGUAGGUGGUUAUUUAAGUUGGAUGUGAAAGCCCUGGGCUCAACCUGGGAACUGCAUUCGAAACUGUCAGGCUAGAGUAUGGUAGAGGAUAGUGGAAUUUCCGGUGUAGCGGUGAAAUGCGUAGAGAUCGGAAGGAACAUCAGUGGCGAAGGGCGGCUAUCUGGACCAAUACUGACGCUGAGGUGCGAAAGCGUGGGGAGCAAACAGGAUUAGAUCCCCUGGUAGUCCACGCCGUAAACGAAUGAGAACUUGCUGUUGGAUGCAUAAAGGCAUUUAGUGGCGCAGCUAACGCGUUAAGUUCUCCGCCUGGGGAGUACGGCCGCAAGGCUAACACUCAAAGGAAUUGACGGGGGCCCGCACAAGCGGUGGAGCAUGUGGUUUAAUUCGAUGCAACGCGAAGAACCUUACCUACUCUUGUAUCCUCGGAAUUUUGCAGAGAUGCGAAAGUGCCUUCGGGAACCGAGAGACAGGUGCUGCAUGGCUGUCGUCAGCUCGUGUCGUGAGAUGUUGGGUUAAGUCCCAUAACGAGCGCAACCCUUAUCCUUAGUUGCCAGCGAGUCAAGUCGGGGACUCUAGGGAGACUGCCGGUGAUAAACCGGAGGAAGGUGGGGACGAUGUCAAGUCAUCAUGGCCCUUAUGAGUAGGGCUACACACGUGCUACAAUGGUUGGUACAAAAGGAAGCCAAGCCGCGAGGCGGAGCAAAUCCUCUAAAACCAUUCGUAGUCCGGAUUGGAGUCUGCAACUCGACUCCAUGAAGCUGGAAUCGCUAGUAAUCGUGGAUCAGAAUGCCACGGUGAAUACGUUCUCGGGCCUUGUACACACCGCCCGUCACACCAUGGGAGUGGGUUGUACCAGAAGCAGGUAGACUAACCUUAGGGAGGUCGCUUACCACGGUAUGGUUCAUGACUGGGGUGAAGUCGUAACAAGGUAGCCGUAGGGGAACCUGCGGCUGGAUCACCUCCUU
rnacentral:rRNA from 1 species